rnacentral:SRP_RNA from 1 species
GCCGGGCGUCGUGGCGGACGCUUGUAAUCCAGCUACUCGGAGGCUUGGUACAGAGGAUGGUUUGAGACCGGGAGUUCUGGACCGUGCCACUUCACGUAGACCGAGCGUCCGCAUCAAGAGCGGCGUCAAUAUGGUCGCCGUGACGCUUGUAAUCCAGCUACUUGGAGGCUUGGUACAGAGGAUGGUUUGAGACCGGGAGUUCUGGACCGUAUCACUUCACGUAGACCGAGCGUCCGCAUCAAGAGCGGCGUCAAUAUGGUCACCAUCAAGGAGUUGGCGGUGACCAGGUUGGUCAAAGAGGGGCGAAACUGGCCCAGGGCGGAAACGCAGCAGGCAAAAGUCCCCGCGUCGUUGCAGUGAUGGGACAGCGCUUGCGAGUGAAUGGCGCGGUGCAGCCCGGUCAAUACAGCCAGACCUGUUCCUUU